rnacentral:rRNA from 1 species
UCUCGCUUAGAUGGAGGCGGGAGUGAGAUUAACAUAGCUAGGUAGGCUAAAGGCCUACCAAGGGCGGUCGAUCUUUCAGCUGGUCUGAGAAGAUGAUCACCCACCUCUGAGACGGAGACACGGCCCAGAAUCCUACGGGAGGCAGCAGUGGUGGAAUAGUAGCACAAUCGGCGCAAGCAUGAUCCAGCUAUGCUGCGUGAGUGAUGAAGGCAUGCGAGGUACGUAAAGCUCUUUUACCAGGGAUGACAAUGACAGUACCUGGACGAAUAAAGCUCACGGCUAACUCACGUGCCAGCAGCCGCGGUAAUACGGAGGGUGGCUAGCGUUGUUCCGGAAUUACUGGGCGUAAAGCGCGCGUAGGCGGUCUACCAAGUCAGGGGUGAAAUCCCGGGGCUCAACCCCGGAACUGCCCUUGAAACUAUUAGACUAGAAUCUUGGAGAGGUCAGUGGAAUUCCGAGUGUAGAGGUGAAAUUCGUAGAUAUUCGGAAGAACACCAGUGGCGAAGGCGACUGACUGGACAAGUAUUGACGCUGAGGUGCGAAAAGCGUGGGGAGCAACACAGGAUUAGAUACGCCUGGUAGUCCACGCCGUAAACGAUGAUAACUACGCUGUCCGGGCACAUGGUGCUUGGGUGGCGCAGCUAACGCAUUAAGUUAUCCGCCUGGGGAGUACGGUCGCAAGAUUAAAAAUCAAAGGAAUUGACGGGGGCCUGCACCAGCGGUGGAGCAUGUGGUUUAAUUUGAAGCAACGCGCAGAACCUUACCCGCCUUUGACAUUCCAUGUCGCGAUUGACCAGAGAUGGUUAUUUUUCAGUUCGGGUGGACCGGGCUGCACAGGUGCUGCGAUUGGCUGUCGUCAGUUCGUGUCGUGAGAUGUUGGGUUAAGUCCCGCAACGAGCGCAACCCUCAUCCUUAGUUGCUACCAUUUAGUUGGGCACUUUAAGGAAACUGCCGGUGAUAAGCCGGAGGAAGGUGGGGAUGACGUCAAGUCCUCAUGGCCCUUACAGGCUGGGCUACACACGUGCUCCAAUGGCAUCUACAGUGGGCAGCUAUCACGCGAGUGUGAGCUAUUCUCCAAAAGAUGUCUCAGUUCGGAUUGUUCUCUGCAACUCGAGAGCAUGAAGGCGGAAUCGCUAGUAAUCGCGAUCAGCAUGCCCGCCGG